rnacentral:lncRNA from 1 species
CAGUCCAGUCUUCGUUUCGCCGUUAUCCGUGUUGGUUCGUUGUCAACAGUACAGCGGUGAUUGUUGUCGUGUUAGCGCGUUGCUCCUCGAGUUCAGUGAGUGUUGUUUUCAUACAUACCUACACACGCAUGCAAGCAGCACGGUCGUUGCUGUUGGUGACAGGUGCGCGUGUGUAAGCAACAAAUAAAAUAUAUUGAAAAGGUGAAAAAUAUAAUGAAAAAGUCGAAAUAAAUGUCGGACAAUAGUGCGGAAGAAUCGCGUAAUUCUUAAAGAUUUAUUGUUUUAUCGUUUUUAAAAACUUUUGUAAGGAAUAUUAUUGUUUCAUAUUAUUUGUUUUUUGGCAAUUUUUUUGCGGCGUCGUGCAGUGAACUGUGUGUGAAAGCAAAGUGGAGCGACAGUCGACAAAAUAGUUAAUCGGUCGGUGCGCCGCGGCAAUCAGUCAGUAUGCGUGCUGUUGUUGUAGUGUAAACAAAAAAUCGUGCGUUCUUAAAAGAAGUUCGAGAAAUUUGCAUAAAAAGUUGUGAAUAUUAUUGUUGUUAUUGCAUUGGCAAGCGAAGCGCAUAGCGCGCGUAUUAAGUGUGUGACGAGCGAAAAGCGAAAAAUAAGAGAAAAUAACGAAAUUACUUUCAUAAAGUGCCGCAAAGCACGGCCGAUUGGCAUAUUAUUCAGCUGGCCUGCGACGCGAAUUUGUGGGAGAAAACGUGCGAAGCUGCUGGCAGAAAAGCGGUUCAAAACAAAACGCUAAAUAAAUUUAAAAAUAACUCACAACCACAAACGGAAGUUUCUGAAAGUCUAUUGGCUUAUGUCUAGCUGUCCAAAACCGUUAUAGUUAAAAGAUUUCACUUCAUAUAAUUAUAUGGCAAAAAUUUUCCGUAGAAGUAGAAAAAGCAUGCAGAAAAAGCAAAUCUCAAAAGACUCAUGAAAUCGUGAUUGUGAAAAAGCAGUAAGCAACGGUUAUAAAAGUGAAAUAGCAAAGUAAAAUAUGUGCAUAAUACACACAUAUAUCUGUGACUCAACGAAAUCAAUGCGAGACUAGCUACACGCCACCAAGGAGAAACCUGUCAUUCCACGCACAAUAACAACAGCCUCGUUAACAUACCGGAUUCGGUGUCAAAACUAAGUGGAAUAUACAUUAAAUAAAGAGUGGCAUAAGAUUUCAUGGCAUAAGGCUAGAAGAAAUCAAGCAAGAAAACAACUAAAACAAAAGCAACAAAAAUUGAAGUCAAUAAGUUUCACUUUCUUGCGUUCGAUCGACAGUUUCGAAUCAAUUUCGACUUGGCAACACCAAGGUGAACUCAACAGCCGCCCGCGGCGCGUAGCUACGCGCAUAACCAACUAAUUAUUGCCAUACAAAAUUAAUUUGCGCUUAACGACAAAUAUCAACUUCGGUUAAGACUUUACACGAAAUAUUCAUCAGUUUGGGAGAACAAAUGAAGUACUCUUAUUCAUUGGUUAGUAAACGAACGCAACAUCGUUUGCUGGAAGGAAAAAGAUAAAUACAAUAGAGAACAAAAACGACAGCAAAGGAAACAAACAAAGCAGCAGCGCUGAAAUGAAAAUAAAAAUCUGUAUGGGAAGCGCUAAGGAAACGACAUAAAAGUAAACAAAAGAUAAGAGCCUUUUCACCAGCUCGAGCAACAGAACGUGCCUGCGAAGAGAGAGCGGGAUUGUGAUGAGCCAAACUGAAGGCCAUAGACACACAGACACAUACAACCACAUGUACUAAAGCGAUGAACCGAGAACGACAAUGCGGUUAAGGUCAAAACAU